GAUCAUGGCUCAGGACGAACGCUGGCGGCGUGCCUAACACAUGCAAGUCGAACGGAGUUGAAAGGAGCUUGCUUUUUUCAACUCAGUGGCGGACGGGUGAGUAACGCGUGAGUAACCUGCCUUUCAGAGGGGGAUAACGUUCUGAAAAGAACGCUAAUACCGCAUAAGAUUGUAGUUUCGCAUGGAGCAGCAAUCAAAGGAGCAAUCCGCUGAAAGAUGGACUCGCGUCCGAUUAGGA
rnacentral:rRNA from 1 species